GCCAGGACUGAGGAUUGUGACGUGUCGUGUCCCCUGGCUUCCCAGCACUCAGUCUCCGUGUCAUAAGCAGCCCCGUGUCCCCUGCUUUGCACUGACUUUAACCCACCCACCCACCCAGUGUGAGUAAGUUCUUGGCAAAGCGUCAUUCUGAAACUGUCCAAGGAGAGGGAGGACAGCAAGAGAUGGUGACGAUCUGUGGAGAGAAAGGCCACAUCACCUUAAGCCUGAAAAACAGCUGCUAAUACUAGUUUAGCGUCAGCCGACCCCCUGCCUCAGCCUGAUGGGGGACUUCCCACUGAGACUGUCCCUGGUGACGCAGAGCAGUGUCAGGUCAAAGCCAGCAAAUUCAAAGCCACCUGGUUUGAGCACGUCUGCUCAGCCAGCGCUCAUGGCUGAAGUGGGAAUGGGCACCGGAGGGCAUCAUCCAACUUCCUCACGUUGCGGAUGGGAAAAUGGAGGCAGAGGGAGAAGUCACCUACUAAAAGCCAUGAGACCAGAGAGCAGCAGAACUGGGACAGGGCCGAGGCCUUCUGAGACCCGCUUUCGUGCCCUUCCAAAGGAAGUAAAAGGCAAUGACAGUUCUUGGAAAGACUGAUCACUGGAAUCUUUCUUUCAUUGAGAAAAUACCCCCCCAAUCAAAAUAAUUCUUGUGUCAUUAUAACGUUGACAGUCCCUUUAUUCCCUACUUCUCCUUUUCUCCAUCGCCUGAUAAAGUCACUUUGAACUCUUUGGUGAAUAUAGCACUGAAUUUCAAUGCUGCUUCUUGCUAUAGAGCAAAGUUGCAGUGAAAAUGUUGCUGGACACCUUUUCACAGAUGCAA